ACGUAGGGGGCGAGCGUUGUCCGGAAUUACUGGGCGUAAAGGGUGCGUAGGCGGCCUUUUAAGUUGGAUGUGAAAUACCCGGGCUUAACUUGGGGGGUGCAUUUAAUACUGGGUGGCUAGAGUGCAGGAGAGGGAAGCGGAAUUCCUAGUGUAGCGGUGAAAUGCGUAGAUAUUAGGAGGAACACCAGUGGCGAAGGCGACUUACUGGACUGUAACUGACGCUGAGGCACGAAAGCGUGGGGAGCAAACAG
rnacentral:rRNA from 1 species